UACGAAGGGGGCUAGCGUUGCUCGGAAUCACUGGGCGUAAAGGGCGCGUAGGCGGAUCUUUUAAGUCGGGGGUGAAAGCCUGUGGCUCAACCACAGAAUUGCCUUCGAUACUGGGGAUCUCGAGACCGGAAGAGGUGAGUGGAACUGCGAGUGUAGAGGUGAAAUUCGUAGAUAUUCGCAAGAACACCAGUGGCGAAGGCGGCUCACUGGUCCGGUUCUGACGCUGAGGCGCGAAAGCGUGGGGAGCAAACAGG
rnacentral:rRNA from 1 species